AUUUGCUAUGCGUACACCCCGGUUUAUGCGUGCCGUCCACAUCCGUCCGGCGACCGCGCGUUACGUUCUGUCAGUC
rnacentral:sRNA from 1 species